rnacentral:lncRNA from 1 species
UUUCUCUAAGGGUGGCCACCUAUGAAACUUCAUCUACAUAAUAAGAACCCUGGUCUCCACAGUCUCUUAUCUUAACCCAGACUCUCCUUUCUAUUGAUAGCAGACCAAACCAAUGCACAACUCCUACGUACUGAUGGUGGUCUUACGUUUCCCUAAGUUUCUGCCGACUAAACUGUGCACACGUUCUCAGGACCUCCUGAAGCUG